rnacentral:lncRNA from 1 species
UUGGAGUGUCUCUUCCAUCUUUGCAGUUUUGUUUGAUAAGGAAGGUUGUGGUUGCUAUUGUUGUUGUGAUGGUCUAUUGAAUUGCCCAGCUUGCCCUUAACCCAUGCUUGGGUGAGGUUUCCACCCUUGGUUGUAAUUACCUAGGCGGCCUUGAUUACCCAUAUAGUUUACUUCUUCCUUGGUAUUGGCUUGCAUGACACAUUGUUCGUUCACAUGAUCACCACCACAUAACUUACACAAUUGAUGUUGAGCUUGAGAGACAUUAUGCAACUCUUUAGAAAAUUGAGAGAUUUUCUUCAUUGGAGUCUUUUUAUUCCGAGCCAACAAAGCAUCUUGGGAUUGUAAUUGAAGAACUCCUUUAUGUUGGAAUUAAGCUCUUUCAUUAUGCAUCUCAUUGUCAUCUCUAUUAAUGCAUAUGCUUCUUCUGGAGUCUUGCACUACCUCUAGUUGAGGCAUCCAACAUCAAUUUUGUCUGUGACUUCAAACCUCCAAGAAAAUGAAUAACCACCGUUGGUUUAUCAGAACCAUGAGUUGGCUUCUUUCGCAAUAGAUUCUUGAAUCUAUC